UACGUAGGUGGCAAGCGUUGUCCGGAUUUACUGGGCGUAAAGAGCGCGCAGGCGGCUCGGUAAGUCUGCUGUGAAAUCUCCCGGCUUAACUGGGAGGGGUCAGCGGAUACUGUCGGGCUUGAGGCAGGUAGAGGAAGGUGGAAUUCCCGGUGUAGUGUGAAAUGCGUAGAUAUCGGGAGGAACACCAGUGGCGAAGGCGACUUCCUGGCCUGUUCUUGACGCUGAGGCGCGAAAGCUAGGGGAGCAAACAGG
rnacentral:rRNA from 1 species